UCCAUUCCGCGUGAGUGAAGAAGGCCUUCGGGUUGUAAAGCUCUUUCGCAAGGGAAGAAAACUUAUGAUCGAAUAAAUCAUGAGGUUGACGGUACCUUGAUAAGAAGCACCGGCUAACUACGUGCCAGCAGCCGCGGUAAUACGUAGGGUGCGAGCGUUAAUCGGAAUUACUGGGCGUAAAGCGUGCGCAGGCGGUUUUGUAAGUCGGAUGUGAAAUCCCCGGGCUCAACCUGGGAACUGCGUUCGAAACUGCAAGGCUAGAGUGUGUCAGAGGGGGGUAGAAUUCCACGUGUAGCAGUGAAAUGCGUAGAGAUGUGGAGGAAUACCAAUGGCGAAGGCAGCCCCCUGGGAUAACACUGACGCUCAUGCACGAAAGCGUGGGGAGCAAACAGGAUUAGAUACCCUGGUAGUCCAAGCCCUAAACGAUGUCAACUAGUUGUUGGUAGAGUAAAAUCUAUGAGUAACGUAGCUAACGCGUGAAGUUGAACGCCUGGGGAGUAACGGUCGCAAGAUUAAAACUCCAAGGAAUUGACGG
rnacentral:rRNA from 1 species